rnacentral:rRNA from 1 species
CCUACGGGGCGCAGCAGUCGGGAAUAUUGCGCAAUGGAGGAAACUCUGACGCAGUGACGCCGCGUAUAGGAAGAAGGUCUUCGGAUUGUAAACUAUUGUCGUUAGGGAAGAAAAAGGACAGUACCUAAGGAGGAAGCUCCGGCUAACUACGUGCCAGCAGCCGCGGUAAUACGUAGGGGGCAAGCGUUAUCCGGAUUUACUGGGUGUAAAGGGAGCGUAGACGGCAAUGCAAGUCUGGAGUGAAAGGCGGGGGCCCAACCCCCGGACUGCUCUGGAAACUGUAUAGCUGGGGGGCAGGAGGGGUA